AUUUGAGUGUAUUCUGGGUCUUUUUUUUUUUAGGACUCAACAGCCUUUUAAGUGACUAUUUGUGCUGCUUUUAUGAUUCAUUGCUCAUUUAAUCCUUGGAGGUUCGCACUAAAGGUGACAAAUAAAUUCCCAUUGAAGUGAAACUGAGACGUUCGUCUCUCUGAUCCUUCUCUUACUGCUGUGGACACUUGUUCCUUUCUGUUUCUCUGACAUUAGGCAUGGACAACCCACCAUCCCCUCCACCGUGGAAAAGACCUUGAUAUCACUGGCUGCUCUAUUAUUGAAUUCAGCCUGAUUGGGCCACAAAAGAUCCUCUGACUUCAUGCCGAACAGCACCAGAGACGAAUAAACCAACACCAAGUUGCUGAAGGCUUCGCUGGAAAAUCUGCCAUCACACAGACAGACAGAAGCAGUGAUGACUGUGGCCCAUGGUGACUGGCCUGGAUGGUCGUACUCCACCACCAGACAGAAAUGGCUCCAGGGGAAGUCGGCUCCUACAUGCUGCUCGUACACCACCACACACACACUGUCGCGCAUGCUGGUGGAACAGGAUGGG